CCUACGGGAGGCAGCAGUGAGGAAUAUUGGUCAAUGGGCGGAAGCCUGAACCAGCCAAGUAGCGUGCAGGAUGACGGCCCUACGGGUUGUAAACUGCUUUUAUACGGGAAUAACGCGCCUUACGUGUAGGGCUUUGCAUGUACCGUAUGAAUAAGGACCGGCUAAUUCCGUGCCAGCAGCCGCGGUAAUACGGAAGGGGCGGGCGUUAUCCGGAUUUAUUGGGUUUAAAGGGGGCGUAGGCCGGUGGUCAAGCGUGCUGUGGAAUGUCCGGGCUCAACCCGGGGCUUGCAGCAAGAAAUGGCGUGCUUAGAGCGGAGGAGAGGAAGGCGGAAUGG
rnacentral:rRNA from 1 species